GGAAGCGUGCCUGAAAUAAAGGAUCACUUUGAUAGAGUGAAACAUGGGAGUUAAAAUCUCCCCACUUCCU
rnacentral:tRNA from 1 species